rnacentral:lncRNA from 1 species
AAAGCAUAAGCCCAAAGAACGAAGCAUAAAAUUCAAGAGCACAUUCAGGUUUGUCACAGUGGGUGGAGGAGUGGGGCGGGAGGAAGGAGAGGGAAGGCACACUUAGUUGAGGUGAGCUGUCAGGCGGGCUGGCUGUUCAGAGGUGGGUGCCCUGUGUGGGGAGGCUCUUUGAUUCCUGGGGAGGAAGGCUAGAGAACAGGCAGCUCUUUUCUCUCUGCUAGAAAAGAGGAGGCGGCUCCUCACAAGGUUCCUUCCCACAGCUGAGCACUGCCCACAGCUGCCCUUGCCCCUGCCUUUCCACGUUGCACAAGCCCAGCGCACGGUACCCACUGGAUAUGCCCGAGGCCUCCAGAGGAAAGGAAAGGAGGAAAAGGGACAGAAGAAAUGUUCACAGGAACUGCAUAUGGGCCUGCUACUUGUGUCAAAAUGUGACUGAACUCUCUUCCAGCAGACCAAAUAUCUAUGGAUACAAAAAGUUCAGCAUGACAAGAUCUACUGUUCUCCCACAUAAUUUUUCAUGGUGUGGGGAAAAGAGUGACUUCACCUUAAAUGUUAACCUGCCAUGUAACUUCUGACUAAUCCCAGGUCCAGAAAUGCCUCCAAAUGUCUCGUUGCUGUAUUACUCUUUAUGUGGAAACACCUGUUCACUUGUGAAUCCCUGGAAGGCAAGAUCGCCAUUCUGGUCUCUUGUGGAUAUCAAUGCUGAUCUCAGCUUCUGAUGCACGGCAGUCAAUUAAUAAAUGAUUGUUGCCUGAAAAACUGAGCCCCAAAACAAUAUUACAAGUUUAAUAUCAGUAAAGGAUUUAAUGCUUUCUAACAUGAAGAUACCAGAUCUUUUCUAUUCCUGGACUUUUAGAGUUGCUGAUUUUUGUAUAACCCAGAGAUGGAUUUAAAUGCAGAGUGUAUGAACUUCUUCAUUCCUGAGGGAGGACUUAUGAUUUCAUGAGAAAUGCCCUAGGAAAGGGGCCGGGGAGACUGAUGGAGAAGAAGAGUUUGGGAGGGAAGCCCCAAGGACCAUCUGCCCCAUCAGAGUCACAUGCAGAGGGUCCUGCUCCUGCCGUUGGAAGUUGGCUUCCUGAGCUGCUGAACGUGCCAGUCCUGCUGACCCACUCUCAGAUAUCACAGGCACCCGCUGUGUCUGACAGAGACCUUUCUGCAAGUACACGUGCAGGUCUGCUCUGCAAAGGCGUUAUCAUCUGCAGAUUAUUGCACAGAGUGGCUACGAGCUGUGGUGUGAUCCUGUCACAGAGAGAGCCUGGUCACGUUUUCAGAACAGCAGGAAACAGGACAUUUUGAAACAUGUUUUCAGUGGUGAAAAGGACGUCUGCAAGAGGAACUGAAAGAGAAAUAAACAGUCACUGGAAACACACGCUGAAGGCGGGGAUUGGGGCACAUAUUAAUAAAAUAGCUUGAGUAAAAUUGGAUAAUGCACAAGAACAGCAAAACAGAACAAAACAAAACCCAACAACGAUGAGGAAUUCAUCAGUGAAGGGCUCGCGGAAUGUUCUGAGAAUAAUUCUUCCUUGCUAAUGCCCUCCAGUUUGCAUUAAGAUGCCCAGCAGUUCACCCUCCAGUCUGAGCCAGGCCAGCUACACAGGCUGAAAGUUUCUUAGGCCCUCGAUGACGAUCCUGGACAGGCACCCUGAACACAGCCUCCCCGGUACAUUCUUAGUGCACUCACAGAAUCUGCUGCUUCCCAGGUCUUUUGGAUGUGAAAUGAAACCCCAAGGACUGCUUUAACAAGGGGCAAAAACACAUGCAACCAAAGCCAGCAGUUAUGCCGAAGCAUCCCGGAUUCCCAUGAGAAACUCUCUGGAUCUAGUUCCUCUACGUCACAUGAGUGUGCAAACAGGAGACUACAAGAGUUUAAAAAUACUGGGACUGCUGGAGAUUUCCCUGGCCAUAUAUAGUUCACUUGUUUCACAGUAAGUUCAAAAGAGACAAAGGGAGAGGGAGGGAAAGAAAGAAGGCAACGGGCACUCAGCUUGAGUGAGUAGGGAACCUGAUUACAAUACUGUGCCACCUUCCUUCUCCCCCCAGCUCCGCCCCGGCACUCUCACCCCCAG